AUACCACAUAUUUGAAACAACAAAGCUGAGAUGGUUAACGCCCAAGAUUUGUGCUAUCUAAGAGCUGAGUUUUUCUGAAUCUUCAGAGGAAACAUAACAUCAUAUUAGGGACCCUCCCUCUCUACAUUGUUGCAGAGAAUACAAAGCCUCAAGUGAACCAAGCAAUUCAUCUGCGGAAGGACAUCAUAUUUUGUACACGCCUUCUCAACUAUCUAGGAAAGGGAUGGAGGGAAAUAUGGAGAAAAAGUCCCCUUGCAUGAAUGUAAUAAAGCUGGAUGGUAAAGAAAUAAAAAUGCCUGGCUUGAAUAUGGUUGUGUCUGUGUCACCAACACCUCAAGCUGCAUCUGCAUUGAAGAAGUCUUCGAGUGAAAGGAGGAGUUGUCUAUGCUCACCCACCACACAUGUUGGAUCCUUCAGGUGCCGGCACCACCGUUCAGGAAUGAGCCAUGCUAGCUCUGUUGGCUCCAAUCUCUCUGCAAUGAGCUCCAACGACUCACUCCAAUCUCAAUACUAGCCUUGCCUGGCUUCUGUGCUUGAAUAUGUUGUGAAUACUGCAAAGUUUCAAUGGAAAGAACUCUCAUGUUAACUAAAUUACUUGUAAUGAAAUAAGUUUUUUAAUAACAAAAAUAUUAUUUUAAUUAA